CUGGCAGUGGAGUGAUGGAGGCAAUAGCAGUUUUAUUAUCUGGGCAGAUGGACAACCAAACGAAUCAGGCAAAAACAUUUGUGCUUUGGCGAACAAGGGCAGAUUGAAUGACAAGAAAUGUACGGAAUUACACCAUUAAUAUUGCUACAAGUGGGACACUGAACUGAUUGUGGUUAAAGAGAAUAAGAGCUGGGAGGACGCGUUACAAUACUGCAGGACUCAUCACACUGAUCUGGCCAGUCUACCAACAGAUUUACAUUUCAUCCAAGCCAAACAAACCGUUGUUAAUGCAUCAAGUGUGUGGACAGGUCUACGGUUCAUGGCAGGCUCAUGGUUCGGUUAAGUGGUGAGGAUCUGGGAUAUCUUAGUGUCCAGCAGCCAGUCUGUCCUGCCAAUUUCACUUACUGUGGAUCUCUAAACCUAAAAACUCAGAGCUGGGAGAACAGAAACUGUAUGGAGGAACUUAACUUUGUGUGCUAUUAGAGAGGAGGGCUUUAAAAAGAUCACAUGCAAAAAGAUUACAAAUACAAUAACUUAUGUCUAUGUAGCUAUUUAUUUAAAAUAAUAAUAUGGUAAAUUUACAAAGCAUAGUAUGAACAAUUUAUAUAAAAGUAAUGCUUAUGGGUAAUAUUUGACCUGAAUAUAUAAUUUCUGUAUAUUGAUGAUUAAUAUCACAAAAGUUACUUAAAUUUAUGUCUGUGUUUGUAAUCUAAGUAGUAAUGAUGUAUAAAAUGGUUUGCAGUUAUUGAAUGCCUUAAAGGUGCUUUUGACGCGUUUUAGACCAUAAAACAUUUUUUGUUACAUACAGCAAACAUCUCCUCACUAUCUGCUUGCUGCCUGUCCGCUGAUCAAACUGUAAAAAAACGCGAUCUCUGUAGACAGCCCAGGCUUCACAAACGGCAAUAACAACACAGUGGCCAAACCUACAAACAGAAACCAUAACAAAGUAUUCCAGCCAAUAAACGACAAGAAGGAUUUGGGGGUGGGGGUUGGGCGCGUUCAUGAAAGCACGGAAGGGAGGGGGAGGAGUUAGCUAUGCUCCGUCUGUUUGAAAACAAUUCAAACGUCAACAAAAACUAACGUCUCGCAGAUUCUCUUAGAACGCCUUUAACUGAGAAUGUAUACUAUUAUAUUAUAAGUGCUAAUAUGUGUAUAUGCAUGUAUGUGUGUAUAUUAGCAUUUAUACAACAGGUCUGUUGAAUGCUGUUUUCUGAUUGGUUGAGAAAUGUUUUAUGGGUAUGCAUUAUUUUUCGAUAACCAUACACCUAACUUUUCAAAUGUCUUAAAAAUAGGCACCAGAGCAAUGUUUGUGGUAACUGUGGUAUAAACGGAAUAAUUGUAAGGUUUUGUUAUGCGUUCUGGUUGUGUUUUGUGUUUUGGACUUUUAUUUUGACACCCUGCUCUGUUCUGACUUUUAUUUUGAUACUCAUCAUGCCAUGCUGAGCUUCACACUUCCUGUCUGUUUUGUAUUUAAGCACUUCCUGUAAACCUGUUCCCUACUGAUUAAUACUUAGCCAUACUCAACCUGUUUAUCUGUAUUCUGUUUGCCUGUAGCCUGUUUCUGAUAUCUGUUCCUGUUUUUUGACCCUUGCCUGUUUUUGGAUUCUGUGAUUGUACUCUGCCUGCCCUGACCUAUUGCCUGUUUUGGAUAUUGAUUGUGGAUUUACCCUAUUGGAUUUGUAUGCUGGCCAUUUUGGGAUUUUACUUCAAUAAAACUUUUCGCACAUGGA